rnacentral:lncRNA from 1 species
GCAUUGGGUCUAGAGUCGUUCCGGUCCCGCGGGGCAUGCUUUGAAGAGGCCUUCGUGUCAGGAAGAGGACUGGGCCUUGGCCCUCCCCCGCCGCCUCUAGGGCCGCAGCAAAUAGCAGCGCUGUUUUUCCAGAUCCUGGUGUACCGAGCAGCAGCAAAGGCGGUCCGGCGGCAGGCAUGUUCUCCUCCCCGGACCAGGCCGCACCGCCCCUGGUUAGCACCCGCCUCAGCGUCUCCGCCAUUCGCCGCGUAGCUCUGACCAAUCGGUGGCUCGUUCCCAGCCUUAGUCCCGCCCAAGCCGUGGCCGCAUCGUAGAGAUGGGGUUUCACCAUGUUGGCGAGGCUGGUCUCAAACUCCUGACCUCAGAUGAUCCGCCUGUCUUGGCCUCCCAGAGUGCCAGGAUUAUAGGCAUGAGCCACUGUGUCUGGCCUGUCUUCACAUCUUGACAGAAGAAGAUUUACCAUAGAGGAGAAUCAUGGAGGAAUGUACCUGCCUGCAGAGACAUGGUCUUGCUCUGUCACCCAGGCUACAGUGCAGUGGCAUCAUCACAGCUCACGACAGUCUCGACUUCCUGGGCUCAAGGGACUCCCAUCUCAGCCUCCUGCAUAGCCGGGACUACAGGUACGCACCAACAUGCCCAGCUAAUUUUAAAAUAUAUAUAUAUAUAUAUAUUUGAACAGACGGGGGUCUCACUAUGUUGCCCAGGUCAUUCUCCAACUCCUAAGCUCAAGCAAUCCUCUGGCCUUGGCCUCCCAAAGUAUUGGGAUUACAGGUGUGGAGACCAGGCCCCAUUUACCUUGUUUGUUGUCUUACAUAUUAGAACGCUCACAUCCGUGACAGCAGAGGUUUGUGUCUGUUGUUUACUGCUGUAACCUCCCCCUGCCACAACCCCCACCCUGUGCCUAACUAAACAGCACCUGUGCUUUGGUCUGAAUGUUUGUGCCCCUUCCCCCGGUUCAUAUGUUGAAAUCCUAACCCACAGUGAUAGGAGGUGGGGGCCUUUUAAAGGUGAUUAGGUCAUAAGGGUGGAGUCCUCAUGAAUGGGAUUAGUGCUCUUAUAAAAGAGGCCCCAGAGAGCUUCUCCACCUUCUGCCAUGUGAGACUAGAGUGAGUCUAUGAGGAAGCAGGCCCUCACUGGCCACCGAAUCUGCUGGGGCCUUGAUCUUGGACUUCCCAGCCUUCAAAACUGUGAGCAAUAAACUUCUGUUAGGCCAGGGGUGGUAGCUCAUGUCUGUAAUCCCAGCACUUUGGGAGGCUGGGGUGGGUGAACCACUUGAGCCCAGGAGUUCAAGACCAGCCCGAGGAACAUGGCACAACCCUGUCUCUAUUAAAAAAAUAGGCCAGGUAUAGCGGCUCAUGCCUAUAAUCCCAGCACUUUGGGAGGCUGAGGCAGGCAGAUCACAAGGUCAGGAGUUCGAGACCACCCUGGCCAAUACGGUGAAACCCCAUCUCUACUGAAAAUACAAAAAUUUGCCGGGCGUGGUGGUGGGUGCCUGUAAUCCCAGCUACUUGGGAGGCUGAGGCAGGAGAAUCGCUUGAACCCAGGAGGCAGAGGUUGCAGUGAGCCGAGAUCGUGCCAUUGCACUCCAGCCUGGCGACAGAGCAAAACUCCAUCUUAACAAAAAAAGACACACACACACAAUAAAAAUAAGGCAGGCGCAGUGGCUCAUGCCUGUAAUCCCAGCACUUUGGGAGGCUGAGGCAGGCAGAUCACAAGGUCAGGAGAUCGAGACCAUCCUGGCUAACACGGUGAAACCCCGUCUCUACUAAAAAUACAAAAAAUUAGCUGGGCGUGGUGGUGCGCACCUGUAGUCCCAGCUACUCAGGAGGCUGAGUGAGGCAGGAGAAUCGCUUGAACCUGGAAGGUGGAGGUUGCGGUGAGCCGAGGUCGCACCACUGCACUCCAGCCCAGGUAACAGAGCGAGACUCCGUCUCAAAAUAAAUAAAUAAAUAAAUCAGAAAUUUAUUGUUAUUAUUAUUAUUAUUUUUUUUUUGAGACAGAGUCUUGCUAUGUCCCCCAGGCUGGAGUGCAGUGGCACGAUCUCGGCUCACUGCAAGCUCCACCUCCCGGGUUCAUACCAUUCCCCUGCCUCAGUCUCCUGAGUAGCUGGGACUACAGGCGCCCGCCACCACACCCAGCUAAUUUUUUGUAUUUUUAGUAGAGACGAGGUUUCACCCUGUGAGCCAGGAUGGUCUCAAUCUCCUGACCUCGUGAUCCACCCUUGUCGGCCUCCCAAAGUGCUGGGAUUACAGGCGUGAGCCACGAUGCCCAGCCAAGAAAUUUAUUUUUUAAUAAUUAGUAGAGGAAUUUAAUAGUAGUAGAGAAAUUUAUUUUUUAAUAAUUUAAUAAAUAAGCCAUCCUGUCC